GAACGCGAAGAACCUUACCAAGUCUUGACAUCCUUUGACCACUCUAGAGAUAGAGCUUUCCCUUCGGGGACAAAGUGACAGGUGGUGCAUGGUUGUCGUCAGCUCGUGUCGUGAGAUGUUGGGUUAAGUCCCGCAACGAGCGCAACCCUUAUUACUAGUUGCCAGCAUUGAGUUGGGCACUCUAGUGAGACUGCCGGUGACAAACCGGAGGAAGGUGGGGAUGACGUCAAAUCAUCAUGCCCCUUAUGACUUGGGCUACACACGUGCUACAAUGGAUGGUACAACGAGCAGCGAACUCGCGAGGGUAAGCGAAUCUCUUAAAGCCAUUCUCAGUUCGGAUUGUAGGCUGCAACUCGCCUACAUGAAGCCGGAAUCGCUAGUAAUCGCGGAUCAGCACGCCGCCGGUGAAUACGUUCCCGGGUCUUGUACACACC
rnacentral:rRNA from 1 species